AUUCACGCCAAAAUGCAAAUUUGGAGACGCACCCAAAUGGUGCCGGGGCUU
rnacentral:tRNA from 1 species